rnacentral:snoRNA from 1 species
GCGCGUUGAUGAAGAAAAUUAUCCCUUAAACAUUCGCAGUGUUUUGCUGAUAGCGGCCGGGUUGCCACCCGGCUUGCUGCUUGAGGCCAUAAUUUUCCUUGGAUGUCUGAGCGC